GGGAUUGUGGUUCAGUGGUAGAGCGCUUGUUUAGCACAUAUGAGGCAUUGGGUUUGAUUCUCAACACCA
rnacentral:tRNA from 1 species